UUGGAUGGGGGAGUUUGGUGGGUGGGGGGUGAGAGAGAGAGGCAGGGUCCAGCUAGGCAAAGGCUUGCGCUUCGCUGGAUUACGAUAGCGCCGUUAAGCCGUUUUGUAGUGGGCCCCAACUCCCACUGUCUCACAUGCCAUGUCUGAGCGGCCCAAUUGGCCCAAUUCCCCAUUCUCUCUCUCUCCUCUCUUCUCCUCUCCACCUCCUCUCUCUCUCUCUCUCUCCCUUGUAUAGCCUACGCACACAGGAGAAAGGAAUCAAAACACAGACGACCGCCACAUCACUCUCUCUCUCUAUCUCUCUCUCUCUCUCUCUCCAUCAUGUCGGAAAAAGGUCAACCAUUACCAAAAUUUGGUGACUGGGACGUUAAUGACCCAACUUCAGCUGAUGGGUUCACAAUGAUCUUCAACAAAGCUAGGGAUGAAAAAAAGACGGGGGGCAAGCCUGACUCACCUGCAAAAGAGGACUCCGCAUUUAAGCAUGGAGCAGAUCUUGGAAAGCCUCAGUCUAAAAAAUGGUUUUGCUGCAUGCAAUCAACCUAUGCUGAGUCCUGAGGCUGCUUGCACCUGGUAGCGAGCUCUUAACAGGAAGCAUUAUUCGGGUCUGCUCCUGGCUCAACAUAUUUUCCAGAGGACUGGAGCUAAAGUCAGAAGCUGUGAUGGGUCUUGCUGGAAUCUGUUUGGUGUGAUUUUGAACUUGAUGACAAUGUGAGCUUUAUGAAGAAUAUGAUGAAAAAAUAUAUAUAUCUUUUGUUGUAUGUAUACUGCUGUGUGUUGUUGGUUGUACUCUGUUACUCUCUUCUGUUAAAUCUUUUACUAUGACCUGCAGCUUGUUUAUCA